rnacentral:rRNA from 1 species
AUUGAACGCUGGCGGCAGACCUAACACAUGCAAGUCGAACGAGUGGCGGAAGGGUGAGUAAUGUAUGGGAAACUGCCAGAUGGAGGGGGAUAACUAAUGGAAACGGUAGCUAAUACCGCAUACCAUCGGAGGUGCCCAGAUGGGAUUAGCUUGUAGAUGAGGUAAAGGCUCACCUAGGCGACGAUCCCUAGCUGGUCUGAGAGGAGGACCAGCCACACUGGAAUGGAGAAACGGGCCAGCCUCCUACGGGAGGCAGCAGUGGGGAAUAUGUCAAACUGGGCGCAAGCCUGCUGCAGCCAGGCCGCGUGUAUGAAGAAUGCCUUCGGGUUGUAUAGUACUUUCAGCGGGGAGGCGUGACCCGCAGAAGAAGCACCGGCUAACUCCGUGCCAGCAGCCGCGGUAAUAC